AAGUCGUAACAAGGUUUCCGUAGGUGAACCUGCGGAAGGAUCAUUAACACGUAUCCACGUAUCAACCCCAUGUGCUCUUUUGGUCUCGUACCCUGGCCAGCGCCAGAGAAAGUGGGACGGAACUGAACCGAAUGGUGAAGAGAUCAAAUAACAGAGAAAGUUCGCUCUCUCUGUGUUUGGUCUCUGGGUUGAGUUCUGUCUGUGUGCUUUCUCGCCUCUUUGCUGGUCCAGGCUUGUGUUCCUCUCACCAUUGGAAUCAAACCUUUUUCACAUUUAAACCCCUAGUACCAUUUUGUUACUGAAUCAAUGUUUGAAGAUUUCCUCUCACGAGGAGUCUUUGAAUAACGAUACGAAACGUUGAACAACUCUUAGCAACGGAUAUCUUGGCUCUC
rnacentral:misc_RNA from 1 species